AUUGAACGCUGGCGGCAGGCCUAACACAUGCAAGUCGAGCGGAGCGGCGGACGGGUGAGUAAUGCCUAGGAAUCUGCCUGGUAGUGGGGGAUAACGUCCGGAACCGGGCGCUAAUACCGCAUACUAUCAGAUGAGCCUAGGGCGGAUUAGCUAGUUGGUGGGGUAAAGGCCUACCAAGGCGACGAUCGGUAACUGGUCUGAGAGGAUGAUCAGUGACAUUGGGACUGGGAUACGGCCCAGACGCGGCCGGGAGGGAGCAUUGGGGGAUAUUGGAGCAAGGGCGAAAGCCUGAUGCAGCGGCGCCGCGGGCGGGAUGAAGGCUUUCGGGUUGUAAUCCUCGUUAGCUAUCGAACGGGUAGGUGGAGAAGAAGCGCCGGCUAACUACGUGCCAGCCGCCGCGGUAAUAC
rnacentral:rRNA from 1 species